ensembl:lincRNA
GACUGUGACGUUCGAACAUGAGCAGGGAUCCCCAUUCUGUUCUAACCGGAAAUGUAUACGUCUCCAACCCCAUCUUCCUUCCGGGGUGCGGACGUGGUACAGUAUUCAAUUUGGAAGGCUGGGAUAUUCGGAGACGGCGGGCAUGACAGGAUGGGGUUGCAACGAGGGCCAGCAGUCAAAAAGGCCACUUGAUACACUGAGUCCAAGACACUGACGUCCGAGCCAGGUGACUCUGGACAAAGUGGAUGGCUCUGAGCCUCGUCAGCAGCAUAAGAAUGAGACCCUGCCCACAGACCCCUAAGGACUCACCGGGUUCAGCAUGCGUGGGGCGCUUGUUUGCUGCGAGCCCAAGUAUGGAACGGCUAGGCACACGGCAGACAGCUCCUCCUUUGUGGGUGAAUGGGCAGAGCACCCACGGGACGUAACGUCCAAGCCACAGCCCUGCUGAGAGUCAGGCAGUCCCCAACAUUCGUUAGGUCCCCUGCCGUGGCCAUGAGGCUAAGUCCAGGGCCAGUCAGGGCAAAGCGGACAGCUGUCACCCACGUCUACAUGGGUUGUUUCUGCAGCUGUUUGCCCCACCUCUGCUGCCUGCACCUCUCAGUUCAGCUCCAGGACCUGUCAGCUGAGCAGCCCGAGGCAAGUUAGUAUGUACCUGUGCUGCCUCGGUUUCCCCAUCUGUUAAGGGGAACCGCUAAGCAUGGCCACUCCCUAGGACCGUGUGCUGAGGAGGAAAUACACUGAGACGCCAGCCUCCGGGGACGGUGCUGUCACUUCCCAGCCUGUGUGAGCGCUGAAGCCGUCCUGCUGCAGCUCCUCAGCUUGGUACCGAGCUAUCAAGGGGAGUAACGAUGUGCCCUGAAGUGUGAAGCUUUUUGGUGACCUGGGGAUUCUCCCACCACCAAAUGUGUAUCUGAGACCUGGUCCCACUCAGCAGCGAGCCUCCAAUGAGCCUCUGGGAAGGCGAAAAAGGAAGAAAGAGCACCCAGCAUCUGGAGAGCAGCCCGGCACCCACAGCCAGCCUGGCAUUCCCGUGGAUACAAUCGAGGUUCCGGGGGAUGAAACCCAGGGAGACACACUGCUUGCAGGGCCGCUCAGGGACGGUCACCCACGAAACAUCGGACACACCCUCUCCCCGCCAACACGACCGCCGCUCCUGCAUCGAACACAGCUUCGGCCUUGCUGCGUCUGCCUCUCCAGAGAAGAUGCACAGAGAUACCGAAUCACAGAGGGACUCAUUCCCACUUCCCGUCGGUGCUCAGUCCUGAUAAAUCCCUGCUGUGCAGAGCCCAGAAUCACCAAAUCAGCCCGAGUUCCAACAGUCCCUUCUGCAUGCUGCCAAGAUGCCCACAGUCCCCUCGGUGUCUGCCCUUCUGCGCUGCAGGGGACAGUGAGCCCCACCUGCCUGGCAAAGGGCUGCCCCAGUGGUCUGAGGCUGGAGGACACGGCAGCGCCCAAGGGGGUGAUGCCGGGGGAGCAGGGGAGCAAAGGACAACAGAGUGGGGUCUCCAGCGAUGCCCGCCUUCAAUGGGCUCAGAAGAAGACAUCAGGACAAAUUCAGCACUGGAUUCCAAAGCAAGGUCUCUGUCCUGGAUUCCAGUCUCAGUCUGCUAUUUCCUGUGGGCAGUCGUGCAAGCAAAGAGUCCCAGAUCCAAGACCAGCCAUGCACACUCACUCCCCAUGUGACCUCGGGCAAGUCCCCUCCCCUCCCGGAGCCCCAUGCCUCAUGUGUAGAAAGGGGGACACGAGGAACUCCCUGCAGAGUCACUGUCCAGACGUGCCAGCCUUCCAGAAGCGUCUGACGCAUUCAUUCAGGAACAUACGCCCGUGGGCUCCUGCUAGGACCAAGCUCGUCCUAGAGUGCACAAGGCCGUCACCCCACUGCAGCUCACAGCCCGGUACAGGAGACAGACCAGCCAGGAAGCGGGGGGCACAGGUGAUAUUGCAGGCUGUGACGGACAAAGGGGACCCUCCUGGAAUGCAGGAAAGCCGGUGA